CAUGAGGUGAGUUGAUGUUCAUGAUGUUCACUAUGUUCUCUAUUUUUGGUUGGCAGGACGAUGAUUAUUAUUGUUUCAUAGACUAUGGAGAAACCUACAGGCUUUUAGUUGAAGAAAAUUACUAGGUUGUUUGAGAAUGUUUUACUUUAUUCCCAGAUAUCUUAAUUUGUUUAUUAUUUUUUAAUUUUAAAAUUAUAUUUAAAUAAGCCUCCCCCCUUCCCCUUGGCUUUAGUACUAUGCAUAUACUUAACAGGUACGCUUAUUUUUUUUCAGGAAAUUAAUGCGGCACAGAAUCACCAAUCACGAAAUUAACACGAAAGAAAUUAACGCGAUUGCCUAUAACAACUUAUAAAAAUAAUUUAAUUAACGCGAUUCAGCUCACCUGACUGACAAAAUGUAUUAAAAUAACGCAAAUCAAGAGACAUGUUUAUUUUUUUUUGAGAAGGAGUUCAUUGGCAAUCGGUUUUCUUUAAUACGUUUACAACACCAGCUGCCCUUCAAACAUAUCAGGAUGCUACUAAUUUUUAUUGCAUCAAUCUAGUAGAAAGACAAUGAAGUGUACGUACGUGUUGCAGCUGCUAAAAAAUAUUUUUUUAAACUUUAAUUAUAGGUCUUAAAUUACGAAUAACUUUUUUAACAUUCUGGAAAUUUACGUUACACCUUAAUAAAGGGUAUUUAAAAAAAAUUUAUAUAAUAAUAUGCCAGUUCCGUGAAUCUGUAACAGGCAAAGUGGAUGUGUUGUUUUUUCUAAAGAAACAGCCGCGAACAUCUAUAAAGGACGGCUUACUUUGGAGGUGCGUGUAGACCAUUCAUCCAUCCUAUCUUUUAAACGCCCUUACAUUAACAAACCAUUGCAAAAGAUUUAACAAAAUAUUUGGUAACUUGUACCUGAUGAUUGUAUAACAUGAAACUUAGUCGUACUUGUGUAUUUUAUUGAAUCCUACACACAUAAUACAAAUAUAUGUAUAUAUAUAAAUUUAA